UUAAACGGCCGCGGUAUUUUGACCGUGCAAAGGUAGCGCAAUCACUUGUCUUUUAAAUGAAGACCUGUAUGAAUGGUGGAACGAGGGCUUAACUGUCUCCCCCCUCUAGUCAAUGAAAUUGAUCUACCCGUGCAGAAGCGGGUAUACUAAUACGGGACGAGAAGACCCUUAAGAGCUUAAGACAAAAAAUCAACUAUGUUAAAAGUCCUAAAAAUGGAACUAAACUAAAUAGUACUGGUCAAGUCUUUGGUUGGGGUGACCGCGGGAGAAAACAAAGCUCCCAUGCAGACGGGGAUAACCUCCUAAAACCAAGAGAAACAUCUCUAAGGCUCAGAACAUCUGACUCCAAGAUCGGCUAUAGCCGACCAACGAU
rnacentral:rRNA from 1 species